AAACUUAGGUUAACCUAAACCAAGGGCCUUCAAAGCCCUUAACAGAAGUUAAAAUUCUUCUAGUUUCUG
rnacentral:tRNA from 1 species